UAUUUUUCAUAACAAUGUAAAGGAAACAAAUUUAGUAGAUUAUGAGGAAAACGCCUCUAUUCAGACCAUACAAUACAUCAUUGAAACUCCCAUUUUAAGGAAUCUCAUUAAUUUGCUUUUUACGCUAACACCCACAAAAUGUAAAAAAGAUAAAGAUAAAAAAAGAAGAGAAGAAUAUCUUUGGAUUAACUUGAUGACACAGGCAAAGACUUGAUUCCAAUUCUUGGUUGAAAUGUAGAACUGAUCGGACCUAAAUUCUGAGUCAUUCUCAUCGUCAUACCUAUGACCCUUUUAUCGCCCUGCCUCGGCCUUUGCUGAACAUUUAGCUCCUUUCGCGCACCUCUCCUCUCUCUCUCUCUGUGCGUGACCAGGAAGAAUUCAAUUGAAUCACUCACGGUUACAGGCCACGAUGGCGUCAUCCUCCGCCCACAGAUCUUCGAGCACCCAAUGCACCAUUCCAAAGCGAUAUCGUGAUAUUGCUGGCCCUCUCGUACACGGUACUGGGAGGUUGUCAUGGCCUUGGCCCUUUGGGGGAGGGCUAGCGCUUGAACCACCACGCAGACGCUUUGGAGCGGUGCCCUCGACAUGAGAGGUAUGGCCAGCUCCAUGGGUUGGGUGCCCUUCUCUCACCGGUUUCUCUGAAUCCUCGACUUGGCCACUGUCUUCAACUGGGUCUCUCUUUAUCUGUCGGCUGAUCGAAUUUUGUUGUGGUGCAGGUGCUUGUUGAUUGAUGGUAAUUUGUUUAGGUUGAUAAUGGUGUACAGGAUUGUGGGUUUGGGUGGCAUGGAUUGUGGUGCAGCGUUGGACAGUUUGGACGGAUGGGUAUGGCGGUGAUGUGGAUGUGAUCGUGGUUAUGGGAGAGGAAAGUUGACCUGUGCUUUAGGUUAGUGAGGUGCUGCGAUAUCCAAAGUUAGGAGCAGCUAGCAUGUCAAAAAGAGAGCUAGUUAUUAUAUUUAGGAUUGGGGAACCCUGUCACCUCAACUCUGCUUGGGAGAUACCAAAAUUCAACCUUACGAAUGCUCAAAGACCAAAGCGUUCGUUAUGGACACCUGGGAUGUGAUCACGUGUCAAACGAUUGGAGAACAAGCAACCAGUUUACAGCAGGCCGCAAGGGAACCUGUCUGAUUGCCGGAGUAAGCCAUUUUGGAAUGGAGGAUAUCUCCUCCUUGUAUAUGAUGCACAGAUGGUGUGGGCUCCAUGGAUAACAGCGAUGGGGACUAAGCUGCUAGAUUCUCAUUAUCCCUUUGGGAAGGAGUCUCUAGCCAAGCACCGCAUUGAGGAUGGUUUCUAAGUUUUGAUUGGUAUAUGGAGACAAAUUAUGCUGAAGGAGGGUGCAAUAGUUUCCAACAACCCAAUGUGAGUGUGCCUGCUCUCUAAGCUUCUUGAGGAGGCCAAACUUAUUUCACUGGAUGUACAUAUCUUGCUAAGGGAAAAAUUCUUUUUUCUUUUUUCGAAUGAUGAUAUGGUGAAUCCUUAUUGGCAAGGUUGACAACCUACACGUGUUCAUGUACCUAUUAUCACUCUUCAUCUCAUUCAUUCUCUUAGUUUACUUUUUUUUUUUAAAUAAAAAA